AAUGUAGAAAUCCUCAACAGUCGUAAUCUGAUGUUCAAAGAGUGAAGUUAAUGUGUUUGGAUGUAAUAGUAGAAAAGGGAUAAGAGCAAGAUGCUGACCAACACUGCACCUCUUGUUUUCAACUCAAGGACUUUUCCUAAUUCCAAAGUGGAUACAAGGAGCUUACAUAGAACUCUUGCACUUGUUUUACACACACUGAAAUAAUAACAUAGUUUGAAGGUAUAGAUUAGAAUGAAAUAAAUCAACUGAACCCUUUACCACAGUUGUGCUGGGUAUGUGUGCAUCUUUCUGGCUGGAUAGGAGAAAAUGUAUCAUGGUGAUGGAGUCUGUGAUUUGGAAGACUGAUUAUAUUCAUAGUCCCAGUAUGUGCAAAGUAUCAUGAAGGUAACAGCAGCCUUUGAUUUGAAUUUACUUUUAUUUAAGAAGAAUAGAGGCAUUUAAUCGAGUUGUAUCUGCUAAUCUUGACAAGACUAAGUAGGACUGAAACAACUGAAAAGGUUUGAGGUCUUUCAGUCUUGGGCACUAUAGUAUAAGAAGAACAUAAAACUGUUAGACAGCAUCCAAAGGAGGAUAAAAACGGUGAAGAGAAGACAGAUGAGGAGCAGUGGAAGUUCCUGGAUUGGUUCAGCCCAGAGCAGAAUUGAGGGGAGGCUUCAUGGGGCUGUAACUCCUCGCAGAGGGGCAGUGCUGAGCUCUGAUCUCUGUGACAGCGACAGGGCCCGAGGGAACGGCAUGGAGCUGUGUCAGGGAGGGGCAGCUGGGCGUCAGGGAAUGGUUCUUCACCACCAAGAAGCUGGUGGGCAUGGAAGAGGUCCUAAGAUGCUGGAGUUCAAGGAGUGUUUAGUGCUCUCAGAUAUAGAGUUUGAAUGUUGGAGCCAGGAGCUGGAUUUGAUGGGCUGUGUGAGUCCAUUUCAUCUCGAAGUAUUUUAUGAUUUUUUUUUCUUACAUUUUUUGCAGAGUUAUAUUGGAUGACAGUGGAAAGUGUUAGGAAUUAUCUUCUAAUAUUUUUUGAAGGAGUACUAUUACUUAUAUAAAGAUAGCUUCCUUUGAAGUCUGAACACAUUCCUUAGUGACUCCAGAGGCAAUAAGGUAAUGAUCGUUUUAUAUUUAAAAAAUGACUAGGGUGUAGGUAUCAGGAAAGUACUGGACUUCUUUUUAUCAUGCAGUCUUGUCUCAGGUCUUCACCAAAUGUUUAACAAAGACUAUUUUCAGACCAAAAUCAUAAUUAUGCCAAAGGACCUUAGUACUUAACCUUACUUUCUUGAGAUCUUGUGUAAAAACUAUUAAUUCUUAACGAUUUAAAAAAGGAAUCAAGUGAAUCUGCAUUUAAAAAGUAUUGUCUAGCCUGCUUGGUGAUAGUUGUCUUGUAAACCCAGGCACAAAUAGCUGCCAAAGCUGUUCCAUCUAUGGCUGUUGCUGCUUCUGGAAGAUAUUCUGUAAUCAGUUCUGAAUUUAUUACUUGGAAAUCACUUAAUGUUUGGUCUGUAAAUGUUUAUGUUUUCAGAAUAACUGCAGUAAAUCUGUUCUGCAGGUAUUACAUUAAUACUAGCUGAGUAUUGUUCUUAUUGCAUCUUUUAUUACCUUUUACAGUCUGAAAGCCUGAGAUUACUUCUUUGGUACUAUAAUCAGUUUUAAGGAGAUUUGCAAACACUUUUUUGGUUUAGAUCAUUGUAAAAUGUAGAAGUAGAUUUUCAUGUUUUUGGUAGCACUUGUGGGUUAGAGUGAGAUAACAUGUCUCAUUAUCUGUGGGUAGGAGGAAAUGAGAUGCAUGAGUAUGGUAUAAACACAUGUGCAUGUACCUGAAAUUUAUUACUGCCAUCUGGAAAACCGUAAAUCUAGUCAUGUUUGAGAGAUGAAGGAUUGUAGUGAUAUCUCUUAGAAGUUGGUUGGCAGAAGAGACAGGUCUGGUUAGGGACAGCUAUGCUCCAUUUCCCAAUAUGUGUGGGUAUAGUGGUGACAUUCCUUGUCUCCAUAGCAUCUGAAGCUAUUUGGCUGCCUCUUGAGAGUCCAGUGAGCUGCUGAGUGCAGAACAAAGGGACAUUCUUCCAAUACUAGUUUGCCUAAUACUUACCUACUCUAGCUGUCUCCUUUUGCUUAUGCAGUAAGUUUUUUCUAGGCACUCUGAAGGCUGAAAUCCUACUUCUGUAACUUUAUAACUUGAGUAAUAAAACUUUUUAAGGCUUUGCCUGAAAAUGUCACUUUUCUGCUUGAGAAACCUUGUUUUUGGAAUAUUUAAAUCUGGUGUGUAGUAGGAUUUAUGCUUGGAGACAGAGGUAAUUGCUGAGGCAUGGAAAAGCACCUUUACUUAAAAAUUCAGCACUUUUUUCCAGGUAAAGAAAAGAAAUAGUGCAAGUAAAUGAAGUGAGGAAUGUUUAUGAAUUAGGUGUGAUAUAAAGAAAUGAAUUUCUGAGUCAGCAACCUGAAUUGCUGGAAAUGUUUCUAUAUUUGAACUGAAUGUCAGAGAUGCCCUUGUCAAUAUUAAAUCCCAGCUAAAAACACUCCCUUAUGUAUAUGUAUGGAGCAUGGCAGAUUCUUCAAAAGAAUUGAACUAAUCUGUAAGUGCACUCUUUGAAAGAUUACAUGUGCUAGUGUAGAUUUUUCUUCUUUUCAAAGGCAAGAAGCAAAAUAGCCAAGUGGUUUCUUAGAGAACUUUAAGAAUUAACUAGUUAUUAAUUGCUCAUUUACUAUCUGUGUCAUGAAACCUUAUGUUUUCUUUGCCACUAGUCUAUGUAUUAUUGGUGAAUUUUAAAGGAAAAAGCACUUUUCUCUCAAGUGCAGUCUUGGCCACCCUCCUACAGGGCAAAGCGUGAAGAAGAUGCUGUACUAUGCUUAGCUUCAUUCUGUUGUCUAAUUCUGUUAUUAUGUUUUUGGAUAGAGCAUUAUCACUUCCUUAGUGCUUCUAAAUAUUUUGGAUACAAUGCCAUUGUGGCAGCAAUUUCAUUUAGUACUUAUCAGGAGUUCUUUAAUACUGUAACUGGAAUCAACAGCAACAGUUAUUCUACUGUGCUCUUGAAAGAGAUUUGGGUAAAUUGGCUCACAGUAAACAUACUAAUGGUGUAGUUUAGCUGGCCCUCAAAUCUAUGUAGGUCACAAGGAACACUUGUAGUUAUCACUUCUGAUUGAAAGUGAGGGAUUUUUCUGUGGGAGAUUGAAAAUGAUAGUAUCUUCUUUGUUAUCUGAA